UUCGCGCGACUGGCGAUGAAGGCUGACUCCGUCCAGAGUCAGUCCAAGGUGGCAGACCACCGGGGAGCGCGAACCACUCAGGCGUCUUUUCCGACCCUGGGUGGCAUCCAGCCGUUCGCCUGGGCAGCCUU
rnacentral:ncRNA from 1 species